GUAGGAAUCUACCUUGUAGUGGGGGAUAACCUGGGGAAACUCGGGCUAAUACCGCAUAAUCUCUUUGGAGCAAAGCGGGGGAUCUUCGGACCUCGUGCUAUAAGAUGAGCCUACGUCGGAUUAGCUUGUUGGUGGGGUAAUGGCCUACCAAGGCGACGAUCCGUAGCUGGUCUGAGAGGACGAUCAGCCACACUGGGACUGAGACACGGCCCAGACUCCUACGGGAGGCAGCAGUGGGGAAUAUUGGACAAUGGGGGAAACCCUGAUCCAGCAAUGCCGCGUGUGUGAAGAAGGCCUUCGGGUUGUAAAGCACUUUCGGUGGGGAAGAAAUUCUCAAGGGUAAUAUCCUUGGGCGUUGACGUUACCCACAGAAGAAGCACUGGCUAACUCUGUGCCAGCAGCCGCGGUAAUACAGAGAGUGCAAGCGUUAAUCGGAAUCACUGGGCGUAAAGCGCGCGUAGGUGGAUAUUUAAGUCGGAUGUGAAAGCCCUGGGCUUAACCUGGGAAUUGCACCCGAUACUGGGUAUCUUGAGUAUGGUAGAGGGAAGUGGAAUUUCCGGUGUAGCGGUGAAAUGCGUAGAUAUCGGAAAGAACACCAGUGGCGAAG
rnacentral:rRNA from 1 species